ACACUCCUGCGGGAGGCAGCAGUGGGGAAUAUUGGACAAUGGGCGCAAGCCUGAUCCAGCCAUGCCGCGUGAGUGAUGAAGGCCCUAGGGUUGUAAAGCUCUUUCACCGGUGAAGAUAAUGACGGUAACCGGAGAAGAAGCCCCGGCUAACUUCGUGCCAGCAGCCGCGGUAAUACGAAGGGGGCUAGCGUUGUUCGGAUUUACUGGGCGUAAAGCGCACGUAGGCGGACUAUUAAGUCAGGGGUGAAAUCCCGGGGCUCAACCCCGGAACUGCCUUUGAUACUGGUAGUCUUGAGUUCGAGAGAGGUGAGUGGAAUUCCGAGGGUAGAGGGGAAAUUCGUAGAUAUUCGGAGGAACACCAGUGGCGAAGGCGGCUCACUGGCUCGAUACUGACGCUGAGGUGCGAAAGCGUGGGGAGCAAACAGGAUUAGAAACCCUAGUAGUCCCAUGA
rnacentral:rRNA from 1 species